rnacentral:pre_miRNA from 1 species
GUACUUGAUUCUCCCCCCUCAUCGUCUAGCAUAGUUCCGCUCGUAUUUGCCAUUCCGAAUAGUGCAAUAUGAGUGAAAGUAUGCCACACGAUAGGGGGAUUACAGUAUC